rnacentral:rRNA from 1 species
GAUGUACGCUGGCGGCGUGCCUAAUACAUGCAAGUCGAGCGAACUGAUUAGGAGCUUGCUUCUAUGACGUUAGCGGCGGACGGGUGAGUAACACGUGGGCAACCUGCCUGUAAGACUGGGAUAACUCCGGGCAACCGGAGCUAAUACCGGAUAACAUUUUCUCUUGCAUAAGAGAAAAUUGAAAGAUGGUUUCGGCUAUCACUUACAGAAGGGCCCGCGGUGCAUUAGCUAGUUGGUGAGGUAACGGCUCACCAAGGCAACGAUGCAUAGCCGUCGUGAGGGGGUGAUCGGCCUCACUGGGACUGGGACACGGCCCAGAUUCCUACGGGAGGGAGCAGUAGGGAGUCUUCCGCAAUGGACGAAAGUCUGACGGAGUAAGGCCGCGUGAGUGAAGAAGGUUUUCGGAUCGUAAAACUCUGUUGUUAGGGAAGAACAAGUACCAUAGUAACUGAUGGUACGUUGACGGUACCUAACCAGAAAGCCACGGCUAACUACGUGCCAGCAGCCGCCGUAAUAC